rnacentral:lncRNA from 1 species
ACGUUACAAUGGGGGUGUAGUCCGGGGUAGGCGGCGGUGACGAUCCCUGAAGUUACUCCUGAGCCCCCUCCCAUCAGGACGUCUCACAUGUGUUGGCGCCUUUCAUGUGUUGGCGCAUGUAUCAGCCGGUGGGGAGCAAUGCCCUACCGGAGCCCUGUGUGCAGGUCAUCGCAGGAUCCAGUGACUCCAGUGACGGAAGUGGGCAUGUGGCGAAACUGGGUUGUACGGAGUCGCCGUGACAAUAACGACCCGCGCGGUGUGUCUUCCUCCAUGCCUCCCAGCCCCUGUUCCCAACCCCCGCCCCCCCGAUCCCGUCAUCCCUCGCCGUUGUCGCCUAUAGGCGUGCUGGAGGUGGUCUGACAGAUGCCGCCAGCGGUGGAACUGCCAGGGCCGGCGGCGGCGGCGCCGCCGCCGCCAGCGGCUGUUCGGCCGCCGACUUGCUCAUGUCCCUGCUGCGACAGGCGGUAGCUCCCUCCCUGGACGUCCCGGCACUGAGGGCGGCCGCCGCUACCUGCGCCCGCCGCCAGCAUUUGGCAACCAACAGUUCAGCAGGGCCGCAACAUCAUCAUCGUCAUGAUCAGCCGCCGCCGCCGCCUGCCCCACAACCGCCAAUAGCACCGCAGCUACAACCCCUGCCCGUAGCUGAGCUUCAGACAGGAAGUCUGCAGGAAGGCCAGCUUCGGAGCACCCGGGAACGUAUUGUCGUACCUGGGGUUCUGAUUCCGCCUGCGCAAGGCGGCAGCAGCCACAGCGGCAGCGGCAGCGGCAGCGAUGGUGCCAUGCUUAUGGACGUGACGUUGCCCCGAAACACAUCUUGGGUGGUUCCCGGCGUGUUGGCGGGUGGCAGCACACCCAAGCGAAGCGAGCAGGCAGGUGCAUGUAACUGCGCAAUCCGAGAACUGUCAAGUUUAGGAACGUAUUGUCGGCAGUACUGUCAUGCGCUCACGUCUGGGGGAGCUGGGUGCAGACAGACAUGCACCGGUCGGGCGAACGCACGUAUAGACGUAUGGACGUAUGGACGUAUGGAGCAACGGAGGCAAAUUCGGGUGCUGGGUGGGGGUUCAAGACAGCUAACACACUGUCCUGCUGCCUGCCUUCAGUUCUUCGUUCCUUAGGAUGCUCCCUCCCGUUUUUUCUUACCUCACCUCUCACUCCG